rnacentral:rRNA from 1 species
UACGAAGGGGGCUAGCGUUGUUCGGAAUCACUGGGCGUAAAGCGCACGUAGGCGGAUUGUUAAGUCGGGGGUGAAAUCCUGAGGCUCAACCUCAGAACUGCCUUCGAUACUGGCAAUCUCGAGUCCGGAAGAGGUUGGUGGAACAGCUAGUGUAGAGGUGAAAUUCGUAGAUAUUGGCUGGAACACCGGUGGCGAAAGCGGCUCUCUGGCCCGGUUCUGACGCUGAGGCGCGAAAGCGUGGGGAGCAAACAGG